CAGAAAUGAUGAACUUACUGACGGGCGGACAGAGACACUGUGCUGAUUGUCAGGUUCUGAUUUG
rnacentral:snoRNA from 8 species